GGGUCCUGGUUGGGGUGUAGUUGGGGUAUAGUUGGGGUGUAAUUGGGUCCUGGUUGGGGUGUAGUUGUGGGGUGGUCAGGUCCUGGCUGGGGUGUAGUUGGGGUGUAGUUGGGCUGUAAUUGGGUCCUGCUUGGGUUGUAGUUGGGUGUAGUUGGGUCCUGUUUGGGGUGUAGUUAGGGGGUGGUUGGGGUGUAGUUGGGCUAUAGUUGGGGUGUAAUUGGGUCCUGGUUGGGGUGUAGUUGGGGUGUAGUUGGGUCCUGGUUGGGGUGUAGUUGGGGUGUAGUUGGGUCCUGGUUGGGGUGUAGUUGUGGGGUGGUUGGGUCCUGGUUGGGGUGUAGUUAUGCUGUGGUUGGGUCCUGGUUGGGGUGUAGUUGGGGUGUAAUUGGGUCCUGGUUGGGGUGUAGUUAUGCUACGGUUGGGUCCUGGUUGGGGUGUAGUUGCGGGGUGGUCGGGUCCUGGUUGGGGUGUAGUUGGGUGUAAUUGGGUCCUGGUUGGGGUGUAGUUAUGCUACGGUUGGGUCCUGGUUGGGAUGUAGUUGUGGGGUGGUCGGGUCCUGGUUAG
ensembl:lncRNA